GUAAGGAAUAUUGGACAAUGGACGCAAGUCUGAUCCAGCCAUGCCGCGUGAAGGAUUAAGGUCCUCUGGAUUGUAAACUUCUUUUAUAAGGGACGAAAAAAGGCUUUUCUAAGUCGUCUGACGGUACCUUAUGAAUAAGCACCGGCUAACUCCGUGCCAGCAGCCGCGGUAAUACGGAGGGUGCAAGCGUUAUCCGGAUUCACUGGGUUUAAAGGGUGCGUAGGCGGGCAGGUAAGUCAGUGGUGAAAUCCUAGAGCUUAACUCUAGAACUGCCAUUGAUACUAUCUGUCUUGAAUAUUGUGGAGGUAAGCGGAAUAUGUCAUGUAGCGGUGAAAUGCUUAGAUAUGACAUAGAACACCUAUUGCGAAGGCAGCUUACUACGCAUAUAUUGACGCUGAGGCACGAAAGCGUGGGGAUCAAACAGGAUUAGAAACCCGUGUAGUCC
rnacentral:rRNA from 1 species